GUCCUGAUAUGCUGUUUGAGUAUCCUGAAACGGGCUUUUCAAGAUCAGCAUAUCAAUAACUUUAAAUAAUAGGAGUGCAUAGUGGCCCGUAUUGCAGGCAUUAACAUUCCUGAU
rfam:Bibersteinia trehalosi TSDA-ARS-TSMARC-192, complete genome.